rnacentral:rRNA from 1 species
CGCUGGCGGCGUGCUUAAUACAUGCAAGUCAACUUGACUUUAGAUAGCAAUAUCGAAAAGUAGGGUGGCGCACGGGUGCGUAACGCGUAGGUAAUCUGCCCUGAGGUCUGACAUAACCCGUCGAAAGGCGGGCUAACAUCAGAUGAUAUAUAAUCACGACAUCGUGGAAAUAUCAAAUCUUCGGAGCCUUGGGAUGAGCCUGCGUCUGAUUAGGUAGUUGGCGGAGUAAUAGCCCACCAAGCCUACGAUCAGUAGCUGGUCUGAGAGGAUGAUCAGCCACACUGGAACUGAGACACGGUCCAGACUCCUACGGGAGGCAGCAGUAAGGAAUAUUGCUCAAUGGGGGAAACCCUGAAGCAGCAACGCCGCGUGAAGGAUGAAACACUUUUGUAUGUAAACUUCUGUAAGAUGGGAAAAUAUUCUCCUCGGGAGAAUUGAUUGUACCAUCAGAGUAAGCCCCGGCUAACUACGUG